rnacentral:rRNA from 1 species
UGGGGAAUAUUGGACGAUGGGGGCAACCCUGAUCCAGCCAUGCCGCGUGUGUGAAGAAGGCCUUUUGGUUGUAAAGCACUUUAAGCAGGGAGGAGAGGCUAAUGGUUAAUACCCAUUAGAUUAGACGUUACCUGCAGAAUAAGCACCGGCUAACUCUGUGCCAGCAGCCGCGGUAAAUACAGAGGGUGCGAGCGUUAAUCGGAAUUACUGGGCGUAAAGCGAGUGUAGGUGGCUCAUUAAGUCACAUGUGAAAUCCCCGGGCUUAACCUGGGAACUGCAUGUGAUACUGGUGGUGCUAGAAUAUGUGAGAGGGAAGUAGAAUUCCCAGGUGUAGCGGUGAAAUGCGUAGAGAUCUGGAGGAAUACCGAUGGCGAAGGCAGCUUCCUGGCAUAAUAUUGACACUGAGAUUCGAAAGCGUGGUAGCAAACAGGAUUAGAUACCCUGGUAGUCCACGCCGUACGAUGUCUACUAGCCGUUGGGGUCC